AGCAGCCGCGGUAAUUCCAGCUCCAAUAGCGUAUAUUAAAGUUGUUGCAGUUAAAAAGCUCGUAGUUGAAUUUCGGGGUCUGUCCAUCGGUCGGGCUUCACGGUCCGUACUGGUGAGAUGGGUUCCUACCUUCCGAAUAACCGGCAUGCCAUUCAGUUGGUGCGCCGGGGAAGCAGAGCUAUUACCUUGAAAAAUUAGAGUGCUUAAAGCAGGCUAUUGCUUGAAUAGAUUAGCAUGGAAUAAUAAAUAGGACGGCAUGGUUCUACUUUGUUGGUUUCUAGGAUCACCGUAAUGAUUAAUAGGGAUAGUUGGGGGCAUUAGUAUUCAAUUGUCAGAGGUGAAAUUCUUGGAUUUAUUGAAGACUAACUUCUGCGAAAGCAGUUUGCCAAGGAUGUUUUCAUUAAUCAAGAACGAAAGUUAGGGGAUCGAAGACGAUCAGAUACCGUCGUAGUCUUAACCAUAAACUAUGCCGACUA
rnacentral:misc_RNA from 1 species